rnacentral:lncRNA from 1 species
GUUAAGGCAGCUAGAGCUUCAAUCGGAUUUUGGUUAAGUGGUUCUCUUAGUCGGGCUGGCGACUUAAAAACUAGCGCUGCAUGGGAGGCAACCCAUGUUUUCUUGCUUUUUCUUGUUUUCAUUUUUCUUUCGUUUUGUUUGGGUUUGUGUUUCUAUUUUUUCUGUUGUUGGGUGCAGGUUGGUGCGUUGGAGAUUGUUUGUUCUAUGGAUGAGAGAUAGGCAGACGCCGUGGGAAACUACG